GGCUCAGGCUGAGUGGGCACUGUCCGAGUCUUGUUGUUGCUAGGUCGAUUCUGUAACUACUUAGUGCAAUUCUCUCACUGCGAUCCGAGGAAUAUACUCUAUGCGGCUUUCUGGUCAUAGUAUAUAUAAUUAAUAGGACUUCUGGUCAUAGGGAAUAGGAUUUACUUGCUCCAUUCUGAGGGGCAGUGGUUGGUGUCUGAGUCGACUUAGCUCCACUCUCCCGCUCCAUAGCAUCAGCCUGUCACUUAUGGGUUGAAGCCUUGGAUGCAGUGGUUUUAUUCUUAGACACCCUAGUUUCAUCCGUUCACCUAUAUAAAGAGAAGAUCUUAUUUUGUGGGGUUUCUUAUACAGUGUGUGUACUGAGUUAGUAUAUGAGAAAUGUCUUCCACUUUUCUGCUUUAUUUGUUCUUUUCUAAAUUGAUUUAUUUGAUUGUUUUUCUCAUUUCUUUUCAUCGGGUUUGAUAGCAAUUCCAGACUUCAGUACUUAUAGCUUCAAAGCCAGUAAUUGACCUCGCUUCAAAGCCGCCAAGUCACUCCUAAUGUGUAGCGGCAGUGAGCCUUUCCGAUGAUGAAAAACGAAUUGGAUUUCUCCUAGACCAACUCUGUACUAGUUCCCCCGGAAUACAGCAUUUCAGGAGUUGUGAGUGGACUGAACACUAGCAUAAUUACUUCAUUAUGACGAAAAGAAACUUGGAUUUCACAUAUACUAACUCACUACACAAACAGUAGCAAAACCCAUAGGAUAACUUGGACUCUCCUUAUUAAGGAAACCGGAUGAGACUCUGAAUUCCAAUACAAGGGGUUGGUUUUGUAAUUCCCGAAUUGACUAGCGGCUCUGCCGUUCCUAUAGCUCGCUACCGCGCCUAACGAGGCUUGGUCAUUAGUAGUUACUUGGCCCCUCCUUAGUCUUCCCUGCUUAGUCUUCCCUACUGAAUUCCAUCUGUUCUUAGUAAGGAAGGAUUGAGCUGUUCUUAGUAAGGAUUGAGCUGCUCUUAGUAAGGAUGUAAGGAUGGAUUGAGCUGUUCUUAGUGGAGUUUCGAAAGAGAAAGAUAGAGUAGCCAAAUAGAAAGACAGAGAAAAGCUUAGCCGAAACCCAGAAAAACCAUCAAAGAAAAGAUCAUCUGAGAAAAACCAGCAAAGAAGAGAUCUGAGAAAAGAGAAGAAAACACGAGCAUUUCUGCUCUAAGGUAGAAAACCGGAAUACUUCAUUUCAGGAGUGAUAGAAACCCCCAGAAUUCUUCAUUUCAGGAGUGAGGAGUUGACUUAACACUAGUACAGAUUGGAUCAAAUGGAAAGAAAACCAGAGAUCUUUUAGUUCCAUUGACUCAGUACUGACACAGUAAAGGAAUGCAGAGUCUCACUUUGACUCUCUUUAUAU
rnacentral:lncRNA from 1 species